rnacentral:rRNA from 1 species
GACGUAGGGGACGAGCGUUGUCCGGAUUCAUUGGGCGUAAAGCGCGCGUAGGCGGUUACGCAAGUCGGUUGUGAAAAUCCGGGGUCAACCCCGGACCUGCAUCCGAUACUGCGUGACUAGAGGUAGGUAGGGGAGAUCGGAAUUCCAGGUGUAGCGGUGAAAUGCGUAGAUAUCUGGAGGAACACCGGUGGCGAAGGCGGCAUCCUGGACCGGCAUUGACGCUGAGGCGCGAAAGCCAGGGGAGCAAACGGG